rnacentral:rRNA from 1 species
CCUACGGGUGGCAGCAGUAGGGAAUCUUCGGCAAUGGACGGAAGUCUGACCGAGCAACGCCGCGUGAGUGAAGAAGGUUUUCGGAACGUAAAGCUCUGUUGUAAGAGAAGAACGAGUGUGAGAGUGGAAAGUUCACACUGUGACGGUAUCUUACCAGAAAGGGACGGCUAACUACGUGCCAGCAGCCGCGGUAAUACGUAGGUCCCGAGCGUUGUCCGGAUUUAUUGGGCGUAAAGCGAGCGCAGGCGGUUAGAUAAGUCUGAAGUUAAAGGCUGUGGCUUAACCAUAGUACGCUUUGGAAACUGUUUAACUUGAGUGCAAGAGGGGAGAGUGGAAUUCCAUGUGUAGCGGUGAAAUGCGUAGAUAUAUGGAGGAACACCGGUGGCGAAAGCGGCUCUCUGGCUUGUAACUGACGCUGAGGCUCGAAAGCGUGGGGAGCAAACAGGAUUAGAUACCCCAGUAGUC